UCGGGUAUGGUGUAAAGGCUAACAUUGCCGCCUCUCAUCCAAUGCACGGGUUCGUGCCAAAUUCACGCGGCAGCUCGGGGUUCGAUUCCCCGUACCCGAA